rnacentral:rRNA from 1 species
AACGAACGCUGGCGGCAGGCCUAACACAUGCAAGUCGAGCGAGGACUUCGGUCCUAGCGGCGGACGGGUGAGUAACGCGUGGGAACGUGCCCUUUGCUUCGGAAUAGCCCUGGGAAACUGGGAGUAAUACCGGAUGAGCCGUUUGGGGGAAAGAUUUAUCGGCGAAGGAUCGGCCCGCGUUGGAUUAGGUAGUUGGUGGGGUAAUGGCCUACCAAGCCGACGAUCCAUAGCUGGUUUGAGAGGAUGAUCAGCCACACUGGGACUGAGACACGGCCCAGACUCCUACGGGAGGCAGCAGUGGGGAAUCUUAGACAAUGGGGGAAACCCUGAUCUAGCCAUGCCGCGUGAGCGAUGAAGGCCUUAGGGUUGUAAAGCUCUUUCAGCUGGGAAGAUAAUGACGGUACCAGCAGAAGAAGCCCCGGCUAACUCCGUG